rnacentral:rRNA from 1 species
ACGGCCGUACUACAUUGAAAACACCGGUUCUCGUACGAUCCCCGAAGUUAAGCAACGUCAGGCCUGGUCAGUACUUGGGAGGUUGACCACCUGGGUACACCGGGUGUAGCUAUAGGCU